UGUCAUAAGGUGACUAGGCCCCACAGAAG
rnacentral:piRNA from 1 species